rnacentral:rRNA from 1 species
UACGUAGGCAGCAAGCGUUGUUCGGAGUUACUGGGCGUAAAGGGUGCGUAGGCGGCUUUUUAAGUUUGGUGUGAAAUCUCCCGGCUCAACUGGGAGGGUGCGCCGAAUACUGAGAGGCUAGAGUGUGGGAGAGGAAAGUGGAAUUCCUGGUGUAGCGGUGAAAUGCGUAGAUAUCAGGAGGAACACCGGUGGUGUAAACGGCUUUCUGGGCCAUAACUGACGCUGAGGCACGAAAGCGUGGGUAGCAAACAGG